rnacentral:rRNA from 1 species
UACGUAGGAGACGAGCGUUGUCCGGAGUUACUGGGCGUAAAGGGUGCGCAGGCGGCCUGGCGCGUCGCGAGUGAAAUCUCCUGGCUCAACUGGGAGGGUGGUCGCGAGACGGUUGGGCUUGAGGCUCGGUGAGGGGCGUGGAAUUCCGGGUGGAGCGGUGAAAUGCGUAGAGAUCCGGAGGAACACCGACGGCGUAGGCAGCGCCCCGGGCGAGAACUGACGCUCAGGCACGAAAGCGCGGGGAGCGAACAGG